AGUGAACGCUGGCGGUAGGCCUGACACAUGCCAGUCGAACGGCAGCACAGUAAGAGCUUGCUCUUACGGGUGGCGAGUGGCGGACGGGUGAGGAAUACAUCGGAAUCUACUUUUUCGUGGGGGAUAACGUAGGGAAACUUACGCUAAUACCGCAUACGACCUACGGGUGAAAGCAGGGGAUCUUCGGACCUUGCGCGAUUGAAUGAGCCGAUGUCGGAUUAGCUAGUUGGCGGGGUAAAGGCCCACCAAGGCGACGAUCCGUAGCUGGUCUGAGAGGAUGAUCAGCCACACUGGAACUGAGACACGGUCCAGACUCCUACGGGAGGCAGCAGUGGGGAAUAUUGGACAAUGGGCGCAAGCCUGAUCCAGCCAUACCGCGUGGGUGAAGAAGGCCUUCGGGUUGUAAAGCCCUUUUGUUGGGAAAGAAAAGCAGCAGGUUAAUACCCCGCUGUUCUGACGGUACCCAAAGAAUAAGCACCGGCUAACUUCGUG
rnacentral:rRNA from 1 species